AGCAGUCGCCACGGGAAUACGUAGGGUGCAAGCGUUAAUCGGAAUUACUGGGCGUAAAGCGUGCGCAGGCGGUUUGUUAGGACAGAUGUGAAAUCCCCGGGCUCAACCUGGGAACUGUAUUUGUGACUGGCAAGCUAGAGUGUGGCAGAGGGGGGUGGAAUUCCGCGUGUAGCAGUGAAAUGCGUAGAGAUCGGGAGGAACAUCAGUGGCGAAGGCGGCCAUCUGGGACAACACUGACGCUGAGGCACAAAAGCGUGGGGAGCAAACAGGAUUAGAUACCCCGGUAGUCCCUGUCUCUUAUAU
rnacentral:rRNA from 1 species